rnacentral:RNase_P_RNA from 1 species
GCUACAAAUCGGGUUAUCGUGCCGCCUUUAAGGCGGUAAGGAAAGUCCGGACAGCAAAGAGCAACGCACCAUCUAACGGAUGGGGUUCUGCGCAAGCGGAAUACAGAAAGUGCCACAGAAAAUUACCGCCUCGCCUCGGCGGGGUAAGGGUGAAAACGUAGUGUAAGAGACUACGGCGGGUUAUGGUAACAUAGUUUGCGGGUAAACCUUGCGUGCUGAAAUGCCAAAUAGGCGGACGUUUGAGGGCUGCUCGCCCGAUGUCCGUGGGUUGGCAGCUAGAGCUGAUGUGUGAGCAUCUUCCCAGAUAAAUGAUAACCGUUCUGAGCAAUCAGAAUACAGAAUCCGGCUUAUAGAUUUGUAGCUUUU